rnacentral:rRNA from 1 species
CAAGUCGAACGGAAAGGCUCCUUCGGGGGUACUCGAGUGGCGAACGGGUGAGUAACACGUGGGUGAUCUGCCCUGGACUUCGGGAUAAGCCUGGGAAACUGGGUCUAAUACCGGAUAUUCAUCUCCUGUUUCAUGGUGGGGGGUGGAAAGCUUUUGCGGUUCAGGAUGGGCCCGCGGCCUAUCAGCUUGUUGGUGCGGUAAUGGCGUACCAAGGCGACGACGGGUAGCCGACCUGAGAGGGUGAUCGGCCACACUGGGACUGAGACACGGCCCAGACUCCUACGGGAGGCAGCAGUGGGGAAUAUUGCACAAUGGGCGCAAGCCUGAUGCAGCGACGCCGCGUGGGGGAUGACGGCCUUCGGGUUGUAAACUCCUUUCGCCAGGGACGAAGCGCAAGUGACGGUACCUGGAGAAGAAGCACCG